GUGGGGAAUAUUGGACAAUGGGCGAAAGCCUGAUCCAGCAAUGGCGCGUGAGUGAUGAAGGCCUUAGGGUUGUAAAGCUCUUUUACCAGGGAUGAUAAUGACAGUACCUGGAGAAUAAGCUCCGGCUAACUCCGUGCCAGCAGCCGCGGUAAUACGGAGGGAGCUAGCGUUGUUCGGAAUUACUGGGCGUAAAGCGCGCGUAGGCGGCUCAGCAAGUCAGGGGUGAAAUCCCGGGGCUCAACCCCGGAACUGCCUUUGAAACUGCUAGGCUAGAAUCCUGGAGAGGCGAGUGGAAUUCCGAGUGUAGAGGUGAAAUUCGUAGAUAUUCGGAAGAACACCAGUGGCGAAGGCGACUCGCUGGACAGGUAUUGACGCUGAGGUGCGAAAGCGUGGGGAGCAAGCAGGAUUAGAUACCCUGGUAGUCC
rnacentral:rRNA from 1 species